rnacentral:rRNA from 1 species
AGUGAACGCUGGCGGUAGGCCUAACACAUGCAAGUCGAACGGCAGCACAGGAGAGCUUGCUCUCUGGGUGGCGAGUGGCGGACGGGUGAGGAAUACAUCGGAAUCUACUCUGUCGUGGGGGAUAACGUAGGGAAACUUACGCUAAUACCGCAUACGACCUACGGGUGAAAGCAGGGGAUCUUCGGACCUUGCGCGAUUGAAUGAGCCGAUGUCGGAUUAGCUAGUUGGCGGGGUAACGGCCCACCAAGGCGACGAUCCGUAGCUGGUCUGAGAGGAUGAUCAGCCAAACUGGAACUGAGAUACGGUCCAGACUCCUACGGGAGGCAGCAGUGGGGAAUAUUGGACAAUGGGCGCAAGCCUGAUCCAGCCAUACCGCGUGGGUGAAGAAGGCCUUCGGGUUGUAAAGCCCUUUUGUUGGGAAAGAAAUCCAGCUGGCUAAUACCCGGUUGGGAUGACGGUACCCAAAGAAUAAGCACCGGCUAACUUCGUGCCAGCAGCCGCCACGG